rnacentral:rRNA from 1 species
UACGAAGGGGGCUAGCGUUGCUCGGAAUCACUGGGCGUAAAGGGUGCGUAGGCGGGUUUUUAAGUCAGGGGUGAAAUCCUGGAGCUCAACUCCAGAACUGCCUUUGAUACUGAAGAUCUCGAGUCCGGGAGAGGUGAGUGGAACUGCGAGUGUAGAGGUGAAAUUCGUAGAUAUUCGCAAGAACACCAGUGGCGAAGGCGGCUCACUGGCCCGGUACUGACGCUGAGGCACGAAGGCGUGGGGAGCAAACAGG